GAUGAACGCUGGCGGCGUGCCUAAUACAUGCAAGUCGAGCGAACGGACGAGAAGCUUGCCUCUCUGAUGUUAGCGGCGGACGGGUGAGUAACACGUGGAUAACCUACCUAUAAGACUGGGAUAACUUCGGGAAACCGGAGCUAAUACCGGAUGAUAUUUUGAACCGCAUGGUUCAAAAGUGAAAGACGGUCUUGCUGUCACUUAUAGAUGGAUCCGCGCUGCAUUAGCUAGUUGGUAAGGUAACGGCUUACCAAGGCAACGAUGCAUAGCCGACCUGAGAGGGUGAUCGGCCACACUGGAACUGAGACACGGUCCAGACUCCUACGGGAGGCAGCAGUAGGGAAUCUUCCGCAAUGGGCGAAAGCCUGACGGAGCAACGCCGCGUGAGUGAUGAAGGUCUUCGGAUCGUAAAACUCUGUCAUUAGGGAAGAACAUAUGUGUAAGUAACUGUGCACAUCUUGACGGUACCUAAUCAGAAAGCCACGGCUAACUACGUG
rnacentral:rRNA from 1 species